AGUGAACGCUGGCGGUAGGCCUAACACAUGCAAGUCGAACGGCAGCACAGUAAGAGCUUGCUCUUACGGGUGGCGAGUGGCGGACGGGUGAGGAAUACAUCGGAAUCUACUUUUUCGUGGGGGAUAACGUAGGGAAACUUACGCUAAUACCGCAUACGACCUACGGGUGAAAGCAGGGGAUCUUCGGACCUUGCGCGAUCGAAUGAGCCGAUGUCGGAUUAGCUAGUUGGCGGGGUAAAGGCCCACCAAGGCGACGAUCCGUAGCUGGUCUGAGAGGAUGAUCAGCCACACUGGAACUGAGACACGGUCCAGACUCCUACGGGAGGCAGCAGUGGGGAAUAUUGGACAAUGGGCGCAAGCCUGAUCCAGCCAUACCGCGUGGGUGAAGAAGGCCUUCGGGUUGUAAAGCCCUUUUGUUGGGAGAGAAAAGCAGCAGGUUAAUACCCCGCUGUUCUGACGGUACCCAAAGAAUAAGCACCGGCUAACUUCGUG
rnacentral:rRNA from 1 species